CCGUAAGAACUUCUCCGUGGCACAGGUCCUGAAGGCAGGUGUCUGGGCCAACCAGACUACCUUCACCUCCUUCUACCUUCGGGAUAUUGCCCACAGGUCCUUGGAUACCUUUUCCUUGGGACCCGUGGUGGCUGCUCAACAAGUUGUGUAGCUAACCCAGACCCUCGCAGGCUGAACAGCAUCGAGUCCUGGUGUGACUGUGAGAAUGGAUGUGAGAAUGAGUGAGUGACUGGCUUCUCUUCCCAUCUUUUUCUUCUCCUCUACCUGUGGGCAGAGGGUCACGGUCGUCACUACGCUGGAUGAGGACAAGAUGCAGAUAAUUUGCAAAGCACCAACUGCAGACUUGGUGAGUGAGAGGUGUUUGGAAUUAAAGUUACGAUACAAAAUUAUCAAAAAGGAACUCUAUUCCUUGGCCUUGUUGGGAACUUGUGAGGACUGUUGUUCAUUUUAUUUUGCUAUUCUUCCAAACGGAGGAAAUUUCCUUUGGAUCCUAACUAGGGGUGAGUAUUGCACAUAGAACAUACUGGAAAUGGAAGCUGAAGAAUCGUCAUCAUUGCUGCUACUCAAAGAAGAGGAGGAGGAUCUGGAGGAGGGUCCAACUGAAAAUGCAGAUGACAACUCUUCAUUUGCAGACCCAUUCUUAGAAGUCAAGGCAGAACCGGAAUUUUUUGACUAUGGUGAUUUUGAUGUGAACGGUUCUUCCCAAUCUACUAUUAAGAGUGAAAAUGACAGCUCUCCAAGCUGUGAUGCUGAGGGUGGAAAGAAAAAGAUCUGUAUUGGAGAAGAAAAUAGACAUUUGGGUAGAAGCAACACAGCAGGGAAGCGAUUAACUUCUGAAUGCCAAAGGACAUUUUCAAAAAUUGACAAGCUGAAAUCCCACAUGAGAACUCAUACGGGAGAGAAAUCAUAUACUUGCUCUGUAUGUCAAAAAAGUUUUUCUUAUUC